rnacentral:tRNA from 1 species
GCAGACGGAAGCUGGGCGGAUACAGCUGCGUGAAGAGAUCGCGUUCGCGGGUUCGAAUCCCGCCGUCUGCG